GACGAACGCUGGCGGCGUGCUUAACACAUGCAAGUCGAACGAAGAGCGAUGGAAGCUUGCUUCUAUCAAUCUUAGUGGCGAACGGGUGAGUAACGCGUAAUCAACCUGCCCUUCAGAGGGGGACAACAGUUGGAAACGACUGCUAAUACCGCAUACGAUCUAAUCUCGGCAUCGAGGAUAGAUGAAAGGUGGCCUCUACAUGUAAGCUAUCACUGAAGGAGGGGAUUGCGUCUGAUUAGCUAGUUGGAGGGGUAACGGCCCACCAAGGCGAUGAUCAGUAGCCGGUCUGAGAGGAUGAACGGCCACAUUGGGACUGAGACACGGCCCAGACUCCUACGGGAGGCAGCAGUGGGGAAUCUUCCGCAAUGGACGAAAGGCUGACGGAGCAACGCCGCGUGAGUGAUGACGGCCGUCGGGUUGUAAAGCUCUGUUAAUCGGGACGAAAGGCCUUCUUGCGAAUAGUGAGAAGGAUUGACGGUACCGGAAUAGAAAGCCACGGCUAACUACGUG
rnacentral:rRNA from 1 species